CCUACGGGAGACAGCAGUGGGGAAUAUUGGGCAAUGGGCACAAGCCUGACCCAGCAACGCCGCGUGAAGGAAGAAGGCUUUCGGGUUGUAAACUUCUUUUGUCAGGGAAGAGUAGAAGACGGUACCUGACGAAUAAGCCACGGCUAACUACGUGCCAGCAGCCGCGGUAAUACGUAGGUGGCAAGCGUUGUCCGGAUUUACUGGGUGUAAAGGGCGUGUAGCCGGGUUGACAAGUCAGAUGUGAAAUCCUGCGGCUUAACCGCAGAACUGCAUUUGAAACUGUUGAUCUUGAGUACUGGAGAGGCAGACGGAAGUCCUAGUGUAGCGGUGAAAUGCGUAGAUAGUAGGAGGAACACCAGUGGCGAAGGCGGUCUGCUGGACAGCAACUGACGGUGAGGCGCGAAAGCGUGGGGAGCAAACAGGAUUAGAUACCCGAGUAGUC
rnacentral:rRNA from 1 species